rnacentral:rRNA from 1 species
GACGAAGGGGGGCUAGCGUUGUUCGGAAUUAUUGGGCGUAAAGAGCUUGUAGGCGGUCUGUCGCGUCUGCUGUGAAAAUCCGGGGCUCAACCCCGGACUUGCAGUGGGUACGGGCAGACUAGAGUGUGGUAGGGGAGACUGGAAUUCCACGUGUAGCAGUGAAAUGCGUAGAGAUGUGGAGGAACACCGAUGGCGAAGGCAGCCCCCCUGGGCUGAGAUUGACGCUCAGGCACGAAAGCGUGGGGAGCAAACAGG